rnacentral:rRNA from 1 species
UACAGAGGUGGCAAGCGUUGUUCGGAAUUACUGGGCGUAAAGGGCGCGUAGGCGGCCAUCUAAGUCAGACGUGAAAUCCCCCGGCUUAACCUGGGAACUGCGUCUGAUACUGGACGGCUUGAGUAUGGGAGAGGGAUGUAGAAUUCCCAGUGUAGAGGUGAAAUUCGUAGAUAUUGGGAAGAACACCGGUGGCGAAGGCGGCUACCUGGACCGGUACUGACGCUGAGGCGCGAAAGCUAGGGUAGCAAACAGG